AAAUGAAAAUAUGUGAAGUAAGAAGAAAAGAGUGAGACGCAUUCUAUAACUUUUGCCACCAUAUCUCUGACACUUUAUUCCAUUCUAGGUUCCAUGGAUGUUGACUGUUGCUGCUAAGUCACCCUAAGAAUAGAAUUUCUUUUAUGUCAA